rnacentral:rRNA from 1 species
AGCUGUGUGUAUUUCUGAGGUGCCCGUACCGCAAACCGACACAGGUAGGUAGGAAGAAGAUUCUAAGGCCAACGGGAGAAGGGUUGUUAAGGAACUCGGCAAAUUGACCCCGUAACUUCGGGAGAAGGGGUGCUCCAGAGAUGGAGCCGCAGAGAAUCGGCCCAAGCAACUGUUUACCAAAAACACAGGUUUGUGCUAAAUCGAAAGAUGACGUAUACGAGCUGACGCCUGCCCGGUGCUGGAAGGUUAAGAGGAGAUGUGCAAGCAUUGAAUCGAAGCCCCAGUGAACGGCGGCCGUAACAAUAACGGUCCUAAGGUAGCGAAAUUCCUUGUCAGGUAAGUUCUGACCCCGCAUGAAAGGCGUAAUGAUUUGGGCACUGUCUCAACAGCCCGCCCGGCGAAAUUGUAGUACCGGUGAAGAUGCCGGUUACCCGCGACAAGACGGAAAGACCCCAUGGAGCUUUACUGUAGCCUAAUAUUGGGUUUCGAUGUUGCAUGCACAGGAUAGAUGGGACACUGGGAAACAAUCGCUUUGGCGGUUACGGAGUGGCCGUUGGGAUACCAUCCUUGCGAUAUUGGAAUUCUAACCUGCGGCUCUGAAUCGAGUCGGGGGACAUUGUUAGGUGGGCAGUUUGACUGGGGCGGUCGCCUCCUAAAAAGUAACGGAGGCGUUCAAAGGUUCGCUCAGCUUGAACGGAAAUCAAGCAAAAGAGUGCAAACGCAGAAGCGAGCCUAACUGCGAGACUGACGGGUCGAGCAGUAACGAAAGUUGGAGUUAGUGAUCCGGUGGUAUGUGAGUGGAAAUGCCAUCGUUCAACGGAUAAAAGUUACCCUGGGGAUAACAGGCUGAUCUCCCCCAAGAGUCCACAUCGACGGGGAGGUUUGGCACCUCGAUGUCGGCUCAUCGCAUCCUGGGGCUGUAUUCGGUCCCAAGGGUUUGGCUGUUCGCCAAUUAAAGCGGUACGCGAGCUGGGUUCAGAACGUCGUGAGACAGUUCGGUCCCUAUCUGUCGUGGGCGCAGGAUAUUUGAUGGGAGCUGUCCCUAGUACGAGAGGACCGGGACGGACGUACCUCUGGCGCACCAGUUGUUCCGCCAGGAGCAUAGCUGGGCAACUACGUACGGAUCGGAUAAACGCUGAAAGCAUCUAAGCGUGAAGCCGACCCAAAGAUAAGAUGUCCCAUUGUUUUAAACAAGUAAGACCCCUUGAAGACUACAAGGUUGAUAGGCACGAUGUGUAAGUGGAGCGAUCCAUUCAGCAAGCGUGUACUAAUAGGUCGAGGGCUUGACC